rnacentral:rRNA from 1 species
AGUGAACGCUGGCGGUAGGCCUAACACAUGCAAGUCGAACGGCAGCACAGUAAGAGCUUGCUCUUACGGGUGGCGAGUGGCGGACGGGUGAGGAAUACAUCGGAAUCUACUUUUUCGUGGGGGAUAACGUAGGGAAACUUACGCUAAUACCGCAUACGACCUACGGGUGAAAGCAGGGGAUCUUCGGACCUUGCGCGAUUGAAUGAGCCGAUGUCGGAUUAGCUAGUUGGCGGGGUAAAGGCCCACCAAGGCGACGAUCCGUAGCUGGUCUGAGAGGAUGAUCAGCCACACUGGAACUGAGACACGGUCCAGACUCCUCCGGGAGGCAGCAGUGGGGUAUAUUGGACACUGGGCGCAAGCCUGAUCCCACCAUACCGCGUGGGUGGAGAAGGCCUUCGGGUUGUAGAGCCCUUUUAUUGGGAAAGAAAAGCAGCAGGUUAAUACCCCGCUGUUCUGACGGUACCCAAACAAUAAGCACCGGCUAACUUCGUG